UACGGGGGGGGCAAGCGUUGUUCGGAAUUACUGGGCGUAAAGGGCUCGUAGGCGGCCAACUAAGUCAGACGUGAAAUCCCUCGGCUUAACCGGGGAACUGCGUCUGAUACUGGAUGGCUAGAGGUUGGGAGAGGGAUGCGGAAUUCCAGGUGUAGCGGUGAAAUGCGUAGAUAUCUGGAGGAACACCGGUGGCGAAGGCGGCAUCCUGGACCAGUUCUGACGCUGAGGAGCGAAAGCCAGGGGAGCAAACGGG
rnacentral:rRNA from 1 species